CAUUCUGCCUAUAGGGGAAGGAUGAGAAGCUUCGACUAAGGUUCGACUCGAGCGUCAGCGAGAGAGCGUUGCCACAGGCAACGACCCGAAGGGUGAGGAGCUUUAGCUCCGAAUAAUCCUUCCCCCACCACCA
rnacentral:sRNA from 1 species